AUGGCUCAUGAGGCCUCAGCUACACAAAGAACUAAGAAAUGGCCGGGGAGAGUGGGAGAAACAGCCUUCCAGGGAAGAGCACACCCAAUACCAUGGUCGUCCCAGAAGACAUACACACACCUGGUUUUUACAUGGGUAUCGGGGAUCUGAACUCAAGUCUUUAUGUUUGUGUGGCAAAUACUUCACUAAGUCAUCUUCCCCAGACCAGAUCAUCAUUUCUUAAAGUGUGCACCUAAGGCGCAGGGUUCAAAGACCACUCCUACUAGAAUCUCAGGGUGCCAGUGGGCACUGGCAACCGUCAUUUAGAAACACGCUCUUCAGGUGACUCUUGAGCAGCAGAAGUUAAAAACCAGUGGCCUGGAUCAUUGUUUGAAGGUCACUAACAUUAGGAACAAGGAAGAACAUAAGAAGAGUUGUGGGAAUCAAAGCUGCUUGCCAGGAUCCACCCUCCCAUUCUGCCAGGGGUAGAGAAGCAGACCAGAAGUUCCUAAGUGGGCUGUGCAAAGUACAGGCUCUGCCCCCCGGGGGGGGGGUGCUCUCUCGCACAAAGACAGUGUGAUUUCUCAGGGUCCAGAACCCAUGGCCAGACUCAAGGGCAGGGUUCGUGAUUACAAGAGGAAGGGUCAGGCAGGGCUGACUUGGAACUUUGAUGUUGUCCUUUUCACUAUCCAAAUACCACAGAGGCUCUGUGUCCCUGUCCCAGAAGGCAGAGGCGGAGCAGGCUUUUGGAAUGCAGUCUGCCACCCCCCUCUCCCCUGGGGCCUUGUAUUGAGCUGAUCUUGCAAACUCUCUGAGCGUUCACCCGGUGUCUGUUUCAGAUGGGAGAUGAAAAGGAGGCCAGGAAGCUUCUUAUAAAAUCUAAUCACACCCACUGCAAGAAGAAGGAGCCUGGGCCAGUGUGCUUCAGUGGGAAAAGGCGUGUGUCGCCAAGCCUGAAGACCUAAAUUCCAUCCCCAGAACCCACACGAUGGCAGGAGAGAACCAACUCUUACAAGCUUCUCCUCUGGCCUCCACAGGCCUUCCCGGAACGUCUUCAGAAAGAAUUGUUGGGCAGAGUUUUGGAAAGACCGGUAAAGGUCGCCAUGCUGGUGGGUCAGCACCUUGGCUGGAUGUGUGGCUUAAUCUCUUCGAAGGAGUCACAGUGAUCCUAACAGAGAAAGAAUAAGCAGGCCGGAGAGCUCAGGGUUACUGCCUUUUGGCUUCGGAAUGGCUGCUCAAAGCAAAUAACAAAAAGAAAAGAAAAUGUUCUGGAUACGUUUAAAAUUUUUUGAAAAUCAAUGACUCAUUUGUUACAGAGUAACAAAGCACAAAAUAAAAGACACUUCAUAAAAAUUGUAUUCAAACGCUGCGGUGGAACUCUGAGUGAACUCUGUGCUGAGGGUUCAUGAUUGAAGAGCAAGAUCUGGUAGGGUUAGGGGGUCCCUGUCUUUGGAAAAGCAUGCAAAGGGAUCUCUCUGCAAGGCCGCCACUGACAAAAUAUCACCGAUUCCAUCGAAAAUAUGACUAAUUGUUUUAAGCAGAAAAUUAUUUCUGGCUGUUUCAUGUAAAUUAUGCAAUACCAUGGCCUGAAAAUUAGGAGAUAGUGAAGAGAUGCCAAAGACAGGGUGUAGCCAUCAGAGGACAUUUUAGGCCGUUUUUCCCCUAUCUUGUGUGCUGGGAUCUACCCAGAGGGACCACCCUAAUGUGUUCUUUCUGUCUGUUUGGCUUAAGUUCCGAACCAUUACACAAGAACUGGGAGGGACCUUGACACAAUCCCUCUCCCCACCACUCCCUUCAAACGCAUUUUUCCAACUGAGCCUCGGUCCUUGGGCUCAAGAGCGGACUGGGGAGUGUGGAGUUAGAAGCCAAGGCCAGAGCUAGGAACAGAGCUCAGCUGUAGAACAUUGACUUGUCUGCACAAUAAGGGCCUAUAUUUGAUUUCCAGAAUGAUAAAAAAUUAAUUAAAUAUAGUGAAUUAUGAUUAUGUAUUCACAAGGAAGUUACUUAACCUCUCCAUGUCUCAAUUCCCCCCACUAUAAACUGUCGAUGAAAAUAUCAUGAUUAAAUUAUUGUCUAUAGUUCAUAUUAUUAUAAUUGAUGGGUGGAUAUUAUCUGUCUAAAUGCUGGUAAUAACAUAAAAAUAGUACCAUAAUAGCACUUAUUUGAAGUUGUUGAGAUUAAACAAGAUAAUACAUAUAAAAUAAUAAAACCCAGAAUCUGGCACAUGAUAAACCCUCAAUACAGACCAGCAUUUUUUUUUAAAUGUUUUUUGUUUUUUCAAGACAGGCUUUCU